rnacentral:snoRNA from 1 species
GCAAUUUAUCCAUUCAAUUAUUAAAGGGGUUCUGUCCUAGUGGAACAUAGGAGCACAGGGCUCUGCCUCAUGAUGUACAGUCCCUUUCCACAACAUUGGAGAAAAAGCCGGGCCUUGAGUCUGUGCCUGCAUAUUCCUAUGGAAUUGUCCUCUGGACAAUAACUGGGGAGAUAAACCAUGCAAGAAACACUA